GCUGUGAUAGCCGAGGGGUGAAGGCACUGGACUCGAAAUCCAAUAGGGUUUCUCUGUGUGAGUUUGAAUGCUGCUCACAGUG
rnacentral:tRNA from 1 species